rnacentral:rRNA from 1 species
CAGUCGCCGCGGUAAUACGUAGGUGGCAAGCGUUGUCCGGAAUUAUUGGGCGUAAAGGGCUCGCAGGCGGUUUCUUAAGACUGAUGUGAAAGCCCCCGGCUCAACCGGGGAGGGUCAUUGGAAACUGGGAAACUUGAGUGCAGAAGAGGAGAGUGGAACUCCACGUGUAGCGGUGAAAUGCGUAGAGAUGUGGAGGAACACCAGUGGCGAAGGCGACUCUCUGGUCCGUAACUGACGCUGAGGAGCGAAAGCGUGGGGAGCGAACAGGAUUAGAUACCCCAGUAGUCCCUGUCUCUUAUAC